rnacentral:tRNA from 1 species
GAGGAUAUAGGUCAGUGGUAGAGUGUGUGCUUAGCAUGCACAAGGUUCUGGACUCAAUCCCCAGUACCUCCA